GGAGGUCAGACUUCGUAGAGAGCCUGCGGAGGAUCAUUC
rnacentral:rRNA from 1 species